CCCGUGUUCUCCAUCGCAAUCAACCCCUUUGUCACAGUGAUCGGGAUCGGAGCACGUAUAAUUGACUGUAUUAGCGGAUUCAUUAUCUAAGUCUGAAAAUCCAUAGUGAAUACUCAUAUUUCUGAUGAUUAAAAGGGGAUAAUGCUCGAAGAGAUUUUGUCAGAAAAAGGGGCUCGAAGAAAUGAAGAAGAAACAGAGUAAAGGGAGAAACGAGAGUAGGUGAUAAAUGAUUAAUGGGGUAGGUGGGGAUGAUGUACGUAUUUUGUUUUUUAACAGCUGUGUAAGAUUGACCCGUUG
rnacentral:lncRNA from 1 species